UAAAAAAGAUCUUCGGUUAGAGGGCCUGGUUCUUAGCUGUGGGGGGAACGCAUCCAGGCACGGUGUUGGGGUCCUGGAGGGAGUUCCCCCAACUGGUACUGGACCCGGACCAGAUUCUUAGGGAGGCAGCAUGNGAAUAUGGUCAAGGAGGCACUCUGAACCAGCCAUGCCGGCUGCAGAUGACGGUCCUAUGGAUGUAAACUGCUGUGUACAGGAAGAAACCUCCCUACGAGUAGGGACUUGACGGUACUGUAAGAAUAAGGAUCGGCUAACUCCGUGCCAGCAGCCGCGGUAAUACGGAGGAUCCGAGCGUUAUCCGGAAUUAUUGGGUUUAAAGGGUUGGUAGGCGGCUAUGUAAGUCAGUGGUGAAAUUUCCUAGCUUAACUAGGACACUGCCAUUGAUACUGCAGAGCUUGAAUAAUAUGGAAGUAACUAGAAUAUGUAGUGUAGCGGUGAAAUGCUUAGAUAUUACAUGGAAUACCAAUUGCGAAGGCAGGUUACUACGUAUUUAUUGACGCUGAUGAACGAAAGCGUGGGGAGCGAACAGGAUUAGAUACCCUGGUAGUCCACGCCGUAAACGAUGGAUACUAGCUGUUCGGUUUUCGGACUGAGUGGCUAAGCGAAAGUGAUAAGUAUCCCACCUGGGGAGUACGUUCGCAAGAAUGAAACUCAAAGGAAUUGACGGGGGCCCGCACAAGCGGUGGAGCAUGUGGUUUAAUUCGAUGAUACGCGAGGAACCUUACCAGGGCUUAAAUGUAGAUUGACAGAUUUGGAAACAGAUUUUUCUUCGGACAAUUUACAAGGUGCUGCAUGGUUGUCGUCAGCUCGUGCCGUGAGGUGUCAGGUUAAGUCCUAUAACGAGCGCAACCCCUAUUGUUAGUUACCAGCGCGUAGUGGCGGGGACUCUAGCAAGACUGCCGGUGCAAACCGUGAGGAAGGUGGGGAUGA
rnacentral:rRNA from 1 species